UACGUAAGGGGCGAGCGUUACUCGGAAUUACUGGGUGUAAAGGGCGUGCAGGCGGCCUUUUAAGUCGAAUGUAAAAUACUACGGCUCAACCGUGGGGAUGCGUUCGAAACUGGGAGGCUUGAGUCUGGUGGAGGGUAAUGGAAUUCCCGGUGUAGCGGUGAAAUGCGUAGAGAUCGGGAAGAACACCGAAGGCGCAAGCAGUUAUCUAUGCCAAGACUGACGCUGAGGCGCGAAAGCAUGGGGAU
rnacentral:rRNA from 1 species